GCAUAAUAGCCUCAUGACUUCUUCUGUGCAUGAUCUUUCAGGUAUUUUUUUUUAUAAGUGUUUUAAUGAUAGCGAUAUUAAAGUGUGUGUGUAUUUUCCUCUAUGUUGGAUGAUUUGAAACUUUAGUUUUUAUGUAAUUUUAUAAUGAUUUUAUCUGGGAAAAAGUGUUUCUUUUCUUCUUAUGGAAAUACUUCCCUAAGCUAGAGAAAUUAUUUAUGUGAACAGAAUCCUGUUGUAAUUCCAUUCAUGUGUAGGAAUUCCUCAGUUUUCCCGAUUUAAAUAAAAAUGAGCUACACCCACCAAAUUUGGGAGGAAAGUCGAUUCCCCAGUGGAGGGAAUGCUGUUCUAAUAAUCAAGAAAUCAACAUGUGAGAUAUUUGGUUCUGGGAAUUUUCUGAUGAUUAGAUAUUCAUAAAAGGAUUUUAGUGUUGUUGACCCUCUUCAUUUUUAGAUAAUACCCUGAUGCUUUUAGUGGAAACCUAAAUGAGUUUGAACGUCGUGUCAUAUCUGAAAUAUCACUAAUUGCUUACUUUGUGCCUCUCAAUGAGGUUGACUUUAUGCAUAUUUUUGUUCUACUUUGUGAUUAGCUAUUCUUUUGGGUUGGACAGGCCACCUAGGGGGGUCUUGUACUUACUAGAUGAUUUGAUGCUCUCUAUUAGGCAGGUUAAUUUUAAUUGUCACUGUAUAUGGUGUCCAUUGUACUUUUCAUGCUUAACAAUAUGAUAUUUAUGAAGAUUGUUGUCCAGAUAAUAGUGAGACUAAUGAGCAGCAGAAACACUCAGAA
rnacentral:misc_RNA from 1 species